rnacentral:rRNA from 1 species
AUUGAACGCUGGCGGCAGGCUUAACACAUGCAAGUCGAGCGAGCGGCGGACGGGUGAGUAAUGUCUGGGAAACUGCCUGAUGGAGGGGGAUAACUACUGGAAACGGUAGCUAAUACCGCAUAGCAUCAGAUGUGCCCAGAUGGGAUUAGCUAGUGGGUGGGGUAAUGGGUCACCUAGGCGACGAUCCCUAGCCGGUUUGAGAGGAUGACCAGCAACACGGGAACUGAGAAACGGUCCGAACUCCUACGGGAGGGAGCAGUGGGGAAUAUUGCACAAUGGGCGCAAGCCGGAUACAGCCAGGCCGCGUGUGUGAAGAAGGCCUUCGGGUUGUAAAGCACUUUCAGCGAGGAGGCGUUACUCGCAGAAGAAGCACCGGCUAACUCCGUGCCAGCAGCCGCGGUAAUAC